rnacentral:rRNA from 1 species
CACGUAGGGCGCAAGCGUUGUCCGGAAUUAUUGGGCGUAAAGAGCUCGUAGGCGGUCUGUUAUGUCUGCUGUGAAAACCCGGGGCUUAACCCUGGGCUUGCAGUGGAUACGGGCAGACUAGAGGCAGGUAGGGGAGAAUGGAAUUCCCGGUGUAGCGGUGAAAUGCGCAGAUAUCGGGAGGAACACCGGUGGCGAAGGCGGUUCUCUGGGCCUGACCUGACGCUGAGGAGCGAAAGCGUGGGGAGCGAACAGG